rnacentral:tRNA from 1 species
GUCAGGAUGGCCGAGCGGUCUAAGGCGCUGCGUUCAGGUUGCCGUCUGCUCUGGAGGCGUGGGUUCGAAUCCCAUUUCUGACA